rnacentral:rRNA from 1 species
AGCAGCCGCGGUAAUUCCAGCUCCAAUAGCGUAUAUUAAAGUUGUUGCAGUUAAAAAGCUCGUAGUUGAAUUUCGGGGUUAGUAGGUUGGUCAUGCCUCUGGUAUGUACUGGUCUCACUGAUUCCUCCUUCCUGAUGAGCCGUAAUGCCAUUAAUUUGGUGUUGCGGGGAAUUUGGACUGUUACUUUGAAAAAAUUAGAGUGUUUAAAGCAAGCUAACGCUUGAAUACAUUAGCAUGGGAUAAUGAAAUAGGACGUUCGAUCCUAUUUUGUUGGUUUCUAGGAUUGACGUAAUGAUUAAUAGGGAUAGUUGGGGGCAUUAGUAUUCAAUUGUCAGAGGUGAAAUUCUUGGAUUUAUUGAAGACUAACUACUGCGAAAGCAUUUGCCAAGGAUGUUUUCAUUAAUCAAGAACGAAAGUUAGGGGAUCGAAGACGAUCAGAUACCGUCGUAGUCUUAACCAUAAACUAUGCCGACUAGGGAUCGGAUGAUGUUAAUUUUUAAUGACUCAUUCGGCGCCUUAA